rnacentral:rRNA from 1 species
CGUCUGGGAAACUGCCUGAUGGAGGGGGAUAACUACUGGAAACGGUAGCUAAUACCGCAUAACGUCGCAAGACCAAAGAGGGGGACCUUCGGGCCUCUUGCCAUCGGAUGUGCCCAGAUGGGAUUAGCUAGUAGGUGGGGUAACGGCUCACCUAGGCGACGAUCCCUAGCUGGUCUGAGAGGAUGACCAGCCACACUGGAACUGAGACACGGUCCAGACUCCUACGGGAGGCAGCAGUGGGGAAUAUUGCACAAUGGGCGCAAGCCUGAUGCAGCCAUGCCGCGUGUAUGAAGAAGGCCUUCGGGUUGUAAAGUACUUUCAGCGGGGAGGAAGGGAGUAAAGUUAAUACCUUUGCUCAUUGACGUUACCCGCAGAAGAAGCACCGGCUAACUCCGUGCCAGCAGCCGCGGUAAUACGGAGGGUGCAAGCGUUAAUCGGAAUUACUGGGCGUAAAGCGCACGCAGGCGGUUUGUUAAGUCAGAUGUGAAAUCCCCGGGCUCAACCUGGGAACUGCAUCUGAUACUGGCAAGCUUGAGUCUCGUAGAGGGGGGUAGAAUUCCAGGUGUAGCGGUGAAAUGCGUAGAGAUCUGGAGGAAUACCGGUGGCGAAGGCGGCCCCCUGGACGAAGACUGACGCUCAGGUGCGGAAGCGUGGGGAGCAAACAGGACUAGAUACCCCUGGUAGUCCACGCCGUAAACGAUGUCGACUUGGAGGUUGUGCCCUUGAGGCGUGGCUUCCGGAGCUAACGCGUUAAGUCGACCGCCUGGGGAGUACGGCCGCAAGGUUAAAACUCAAAUGAAUUGACGAGGGCCCGCACAAGCGGUGGAGCAUGUGGUUUAAUUCGAUGCAACGCGAAGAACCUUACCUGGUCUUGACAUCCACGGAAGUUUUCAGAGAUGAGAAUGUGCCUUCGGGAACCGUGAGACAGGUGCUGCAUGGCUGUCGUCAGCUCGUGUUGUGAAAUGUUGGGUUAAGUCCCGCAACGAGCGCAACCCUUACCCUUUGUUGCCAGCGGUCCGGCCGGGAACUCAAAGGAGACUGCCAGUGAUAAACUGGAGGAAGGUGGGGAUGACGUCAAGUCAUCAUGGCCCUUACGACCCGGGCUACACACGUGCUACAAUGGCGCAUACAAAGAGAAGCGACCUCGCGAGAGCAAGCGGACCUCAUAAAGUGCGUCGUAGUCCGGAUUGGAGUCUGCAACUCGACUCCAUGAAGUCGGAAUCGCUAGUAAUCGUGGAUCAGAAUGCCACGGUGAAUACGUUCCCGGGCCUUGUACACACCGCCCGUCACACCAUGGGAGUGGGUUGCAAAAGAAGUAGGUAGCUUAACCUUCGGGAGGGCGCUUACCACUUUGUGAUUCAUGACUGGGGUGAAGUCGGAACAAGGUA